AACGAACGCUGGCGGCAUGCCUAACACAUGCAAGUCGAACGUGAUCCAGGCUUCGGCCUGGUGAAAGUGGCAGACGGGUGAGUAACGCGUGGGAUCCUGCCCUGUGGUAGGGAAUAACCGUGGGAAACUGCGGCUAAUACCCUAUGAGUCCUUCGGGAGAAAGAUUYAUCGCCAUAGGAGGGGCCCGCGUCGGAUUAGGUAGUUGGUGGGGUAACGGCCUACCAAGCCUUCGAUCCGUAGCUGGUNUGAGAGGAUGAUCAGCCACACUGGGACUGAGAUACGGCCCAGACUCCUACGGGAGGCAGCAGUGGGGAAUAUUGGACAAUGGGGGCAACCCUGAUCCAGCAAUGCCGCGUGGAUGAUGAAGGCCUUCGGGUUGUAAAGUCCUUUCGGCGGGGAAGAUGAUGACGGUACCCGCANAAGAAGCCCCGGCUAACUUCGUGCCAGCAGCCGCGGUAAUACUAASGGGGCUAGCGUUGUUCGGAAUUACUGGGCGUAAAGGGCGCGUAGGCUGWGCUGNAAGUCAGGCGUGAAAGCCCCGGGCUCAACCUGGGAAUUGCGCUUGAUACUGMGGCGCUGGAAGGUGGGAGAGGAUGGCGGAAUUCCCAGUGUARAGGUGAANUUCGUAGAUAUUGGKAAGAACACCGGUGGCGAARGCGGCCAUCUGGCCCACAUUUGWCGCUSAGGCGCGAAAGCGWGGGGAGCAANCAGGAUUAKAUACCCUGGUAGUCCACGCUGUAAACGAUGAGUGCUAGACGUCGGGGAGCUUGCUCUUCGGUGUCGCCGNUAACGCAUUAAGCACUCCGCCUGGGGAGUACGGUCGCAAGAUUAACACUCAAAGGAAUUGACGGGGGCCCGCACAAGCGGUGGAGCAUGUGGUUUAAUUCGAAGCAACGCGCAGAACCUUACCAGCCCUUGACAUGGCACGUAUGGGAUUUGGAAACAGAUCUAUUCAGUUCGGCUGGCGUCCACACAGGUNCUGCAUGGSUGUCGUCAGCUCGUGUCGUGAGAUG
rnacentral:rRNA from 1 species